UCACUUCGGGCAUGCAAAGUCAAAAUCAGUCGACUUUUUAAACCUUCUAACGUAUAUGGCAGGAGUCAUUCUGCACUAAGAAAGUGCUGAACUUUGAGCGUCAGGACCCGGAAGCGUGUUAUUUUAUUGUCACAUGGCUUGAAGAUUUCAAUAACAACAAAAAAUGGCGACAAUCACGUUGUUCGCUGUAAGCCUUGCUGCGUCAUUAAAAAUAUUCACGUAAACAAGGGAGUCCAGCGUUGAAAAUGCAGCCGCUAGAGGAAUGUUAGGCAGAUGUUUUGUCAUUAUUUGGCAGGCGUUUCCACUGUCCUGAGAUGGCAAACACGACGUGCUGAUGGAGUUGUUUACAAGAAGAGCUUCGCACGGAGGGCGGGGAUGUUGUGGGCGGGGUUUGCUGGAUGUGGGAGGAGCCAAGCGCUUGCCAAAUACGAGAGCCAAGUAUAGAGGGUGGAGUCAGAGUUACCAUAACAAGUCUGUCGUCACAGGGGUGGUGUGUAUUAAUAUUUAAAGCUCAGGACGAAGGUAUUGAAUCUCCUCCGGUCAGAUGGACAGCGGAGUUGACAUCUAAUGGAGUGUAUUUGUAUAUAUAAAAAUAUGGCAUAAACUCCAAUCAUGAUAUUAUAAUUUCUAUUUAGUAUGUUUAAUAAUAAAAAUACUUUAAUGAUUGCAUAUACUCAUUCCUAUAAUACACACAAAUGGAAAUGUCAGAUUUAUUUAGCCUAUAUUAUAUAUUAACUGUUAUAUUUUGAAAACAGUAAACAUUACAUUUUGAUCUGAUAUUUAUUAAAGUGAUAGUUGUUAUCCCAGAAUGAACAUGGACAAGAAGAUGUGUGAAGAACUACUGCCCUGGCUCUGCUUGAUGUGACAGGCUGCCCUGGUUCAGUUAUCAUAGUGCUGAUGCUGUCCAUCUUAAAGGUACAGUACUGUGAUAACUGAAGGAUGGCUGCCAUCUUGACAUCUAGCCUCACAAAAAGAUUUUUAUUUUUUUUAACAGGUGAGAAAGAGGGAAAAAUAAAAAAACAAACCAAGAAAAUAAACAUCACAAUAAAGUUAAAUACAGAGAAAUCUCUGCUGAAUCCUGUUUUGAUAACAAACUGUGUCAAACUGUUGGUUGCAUUCUAAUUUUAUAUAUGAAAUCAUUCACAUUAUGGUAGCUUGUCAUCAGUGUAAUGUUAAAUUAUCCUCCUAGGAUCAGGCAGAAAAUGUUUUUUGACAUUUAUUUUGACAUUAUGUUGUUGUUUUGGGAAAUAAAAAAAUCAUUAAAAUA